rnacentral:rRNA from 1 species
UUCUUUAUCACCGAGUGCUUGCACUCACCGAUAAAGAGUUGAGUGGCGAACGGGUGAGUAACACGUGGGCAACCUGCCCAAAAGAGGGGGAUAACACUUGGAAACAGGUGCUAAUACCGCAUAACCAUAGUUACCGCAUGGUAACUAUGUAAAAGGUGGCUAUGCUACCGCUUUUGGAUGGGCCCGCGGCGCAUUAGCUAGUUGGUGGGGUAAAGGCUUACCAAGGCAAUGAUGCGUAGCCGAACUGAGAGGUUGAUCGGCCACAUUGGGACUGAGACACGGCCCAAACUCCUACGGGAGGCAGCAGUAGGGAAUCUUCCACAAUGGGCGAAAGCCUGAUGGAGCAACGCCGCGUGGGUGAAGAAGGUCUUCGGAUCGUAAAACCCUGUUGUUAGAGAAGAAAGUGCGUGAGAGUAACUGUUCAUGUUUCGACGGUAUCUAACCAGAAAGCCACGGCUAACUACGUGCCAGCAGCCGCGGUAAUACGUAGGUGGCAAGCGUUAUCCGGAUUUAUUGGGCGUAAAGGGAACGCAGGCGGUCUUUUAAGUCUGAUGUGAAAGCCUUCGGCUUAACCGGAGUAGUGCAUUGGAAACUGGGAGACUUGAGUGCAGAAGAGGAGAGUGGAACUCCAUGUGUAGCGGUGAAAUGCGCAGAUAUAUGGAAGAACACCAGUGGCGAAAGCGGCUCUCUGGUCUGUAACUGACGCUGAGGUUCGAAAGCGUGGGUAGCAAACA